rnacentral:tRNA from 1 species
GUUCUUGUAGUUAAAUUGGUAACGGCAGUUUUUCAGGCUGCAGAUCUCGGAUAAAGUCCGAGCAGGAAUU